rnacentral:lncRNA from 1 species
AAGGCGCUGCUGUCGUAAAAGGACGUCCGGUCCGUCUCCUAGUGUCCGGAAUCGGCUGUCAGCCUCCCUGGCUGUUAGUACCUUCUUUCCCGGAGUCCUGGUCCACGAGUUGGAUUUACUGCUGUCGCGGGUGGGCCUCACGCCAUUCCCUGUCCCUCGGCCCCCUGAGUGAGUCCGGUCUCCCGGCGAAAGUGAGCGAGGUUUGCCCGGAGCGCGCACGAGGGGAAAAUGCCUAAAAAAAAGACUGGUGCGAGGAAGAAGGCUGAGAACCGCCGAGAACGUGAAAAACAACUAAGAGCAUCAAGAAGCACUAUAGAUUUAGCUAAACAUCCAUGUAAUGCCUCAAUGGUAUCAGCUUUUUUUGAUAUCAGUUGGUAGUUGGAAAAACUAUAUACUAUUUUAUCUGACGUAUACCUGAAUAAAAUUUUAGUGAAGACAGUGUUUUUGCAUAUAGUUUGUUGCUGAAUUUAGUAUCUCUGGCACGUCUGUUGAUUUCACUGAGUGGCAGUGAUUGUUGUUGGAUUUUAUAUUAUUAUAAAACCUAGCAUAUUACUUUACAUACUGUUGGUGAUAAAGGUAGAUAUUGGACAAGAAUAGAUAAUAGAAACUUUCAUCUUCCAGUUUCUUUAAUGCCUUAGUCUUAUUGGGUUUUCAUCAUAUUUUCUUAGCAAUUCUUUCAUUUCUCUUUUCUGAACUUCCUACUUAACAUCUGUUGGCUUCCCAUUCUAUUACC